UGGGGAAUAUUGGACAAUGGGGGCAACCCUGAUCCAGCCAUGCCCGCGUGUGUGAAUGAACGCCUUCGGGUUGUAAAGCACUUUCAGUGAGUGAGGAAGGUGGUGGUCGUUAAUACCUGCAUCAAAUGACGUUAGCCACAAAAUGAACCACCGGCUAACUCCGUGCCAGCACGCCGCGCGUAAUACGGAGGGUGCGAGCGUUAAUCGGAAUUACUGGGCGUGACGCGCACGCACGUGAGUAUGUUAAGCAAGAUGUGAAAGCGUGCGAGCUCAUACUCUGGAGUAUCAUUUUGAACUGGCAUGAUAGAGUUUUGUGAGAGGGUGG
rnacentral:rRNA from 1 species